AUCCGACCCCCAACCUUUACUCCUACCUGCCCCGAUUUUCUUCUUCUUCUUCACGCGCAACCAGUCGUGAACGACCCAUAAAAUUUAGUAACGUAUUGCAAAGAGUGCACCCCAUACCCACGCGCUCUUUUUUUCCUUCUUCGUGUGAGACUCAGCAACGGGAACCUGCAAAUAUCGCUAUGUUCGCCCCUGUUUUUGUACGAGUCACAACUUCAAAGUGAGACACGCAAAAUUGUCCUUGCUCAUCGAGAUUAGUCCCCCUGGUGGCGGGGAUGGGUAGAUCAAUCCUUGGCGUCAAUUUCCCCUUCCAUUUUUGUAACGAAGUUUAAAACUUCAAAAAAAAAGUUUAUCCAGAUCUGUGAAUGUUUUUGGGAUUUCAAAAUUUAAAUAAGCCGCCCUCUCAUCCGAAUUUUGAUAGUUUUCCCCCUCUUUUCGAAAACCCUAGCCCCCUAUGCUAUAUAUUCGUUAUUGGUUUACUGGUAAAGGGGCGCAAGAGAUUUAACCUUAAUAAAUUUUCUUUUUUGUUGAGAAAAUUGUUCUUGGGAGAAAAUACUCACAACCUAAAAACAAAAGUAUAUACAAGAACAUAUAUACAAAGCGUCGUAGUUCGGCUGGAAGCUUGGGAUUUUGCUGUGAAUUUCUGUUCAUUUGUAUUCCGUGUCUCGUCGCGAAAGUUGUUGUCUCUGUUGCUCGUCUUGCCUUAAUUCGUUGCACUUAGGAAGGUUGAAAAGCAGCAACUUGUCUGCUGAAAAUUAAUUUUCCAGCCCCGGAAGGCCAAAAACAGGUUGAUAUACAUUCUGGAUACACCAAUAUAGGAUCGGAAUAUACAAAAUGCAGGUGCAAAAAAUGUGAAACACACGCAGCAAAUACAAGGUGCAGCGAAAAUACAGGAUUGGAAAGUCAAAAAAUGGAUCGUAUACGGUCUAUAUACCCAAAUAAACAUAAAGCAUAUACACAAUUUUUAAAAGGAGCUAAAACCCAGAAGCCUGAAGCCAUUUCCAGCAGAAGUAAGUUGCUGAAAAAUGGGCGCAGCAAGCCCAUGUUUUUUGGUUAAUUUAGUAUAGGACAGGUGGGCCAAAGGUCAACUUAGUGGAAUUUGGGCAAAUUGGCCUAAGUUUAGAUCUUCCCUUUCUCUAUCUCUCUAUUUAUUGGUCCUUAUGUUGACUAACACUUUUCAUUAUAAUUUAAUUAAUCCCCAAUGGUAGUCGUUUUUUUUCAUUAUA